UACGUAGGGGGCAAGCGUUGUCCGGAUUUAUUGGGCGUAAAGAGCGUGUAGGCGGCCAGACAGGUCUGCUGUGAAAACUCGAGGCUCAACCUCGAGACGCCGGUGGAAACCGUUUGGCUAGAGUCCGGAAGAGGCGAGUGGAAUUCCUGGUGUAGCGGUGAAAUGCGCAGAUAUCAGGAGGAACACCAAUUGCGAAGGCAGCUCGCUGGGACGUUACUGACGCUGAGACGCGAAAGCGUGGGGAGCAAACAGG
rnacentral:rRNA from 1 species